GACAGAGGGUGCAAACGUUGUUCGGAAUUACUGGGCGUAAAGGGCGCGUAGGCGGCCUGUUAAGUCGAACGUGAAAUCCCCGGGCUCAACCCGGGAACUGCGUCCGAUACUGGCAGGCUCGAAUCCGGGAGAGGGAUGCGGAAUUCCAGGUGUAGCGGUGAAAUGCGUAGAUAUCUGGAGGAACACCGGUGGCGAAGGCGGCAUCCUGGACCAAUAUUGACGCUGAGGAGCGAAAGCCAGGGGAGCAAACGGG
rnacentral:rRNA from 1 species